rnacentral:rRNA from 1 species
GACGAACGCUGGCGGCGUGCCUAAUACAUGCAAGUAGAACGCAGUUGCGAACGGGUGAGUAACGCGUAGGUAACUGCCUCAUUGCGGGGGAUCACUAUUGGAAACGAUAGCUAAUACCGCAUACUGUGAGAUGGACCUGCGUUGUAUUAGCUAGUGGGUGAGGUAAAGGCUCACCAAGGCGACGAUCCAUAGCCGAACGGAGAGGGUGAUCGGCAGCACUGGGACGGAGACAAGGCACAGAGGCCUACGGGAGGCAGCAGGAGGGAAUCUGCGGGAAGGAGCGGAAGACUGAGCGAGCAACGCGGCGUGAGUGAAGAGGGAUUUCGGAUCGGAAAGCUCUGUUGUUAGAGAAGCGGUAACUACCCAGGAAGGGACGGCUAACUACGUGCCAGCAGCCGCGGUAAUAC